rnacentral:rRNA from 1 species
GACGAACGCUGGCGGCGUGCUUAACACAUGCAAGUCGAACGGAAAGGCCCUGCUUUUGUUGGGUUCUCGAUUGGCGAACGGGUGAGUAACACGUGAGUAACCUGCCCUUGACUUUGGGAUAACUUCAGGAAACUGGGGCUAAUACCCGAUAGGAUCUCCUGCUGCAUGUUGGGGGUUGGAAAGUUUCGGCGGUUGUGGAUGUACUCGCUGGUUAUCAGCUUGUUGGUGGGGUAGUUGCUUACCAAGGCUUUGACGGGUAGCCGGCCUGAGAGGGUGACCGGCCACAUUGGGACUGAGAUAGGGAGCAGAAUCCUACGGGAGGCAGCAGUGGGAAAUAUUGCAGAAUGGGCGGAAGCCUGAUGCAGAAACGCCGCGUGCGGGAUGACGGCCUUCGGGUUGUAAACCGCUUUCGCCUGUGCCGAAGCGUGAGUGACGGUAAUGGGUAAAGAAGCAACGGCUAACUACGUG